UUUCUUUGGUGUAUGUAAUAAUCUGCUUAGCCAAACUCUCUUGUAUUUUGUAAUUAUAAUGUGUGUGUAUUCAUUGAUUAUACAGUAUAACUAAGGUUUUCUAGCAUGUGUUCACUGCAGUUGGGAAUUAUCUAGGGCAAACACAAAAAACUGGCAAACUGUAGCAUUGUGGAGUAAAGAGAAAUCCUGCAGUAGAACAACUUGCAAGCAGAGGCAUCUAAGCAGAGAACUAAUUGCUUAAUAGUAUAUUUUUAUCGUUUGUUUUCUUGAGAGCAAGAAGGCAAAAUGGAAGUCAAGAAGUAAGAAUGGACAUCAUGAAAGCAUCAGUAAGAAUUUCUGUUCUAAAAUCAACAGGUGUGUCGCUCAUUACAAGAUGAAGAAAAUCCAGCAGAACUGUGUGGAGCACUGAGGGCAUAGCAAAAUAAUGGAUCGUCAGUACCAGAUGAUCCCGUUCUGACUUCCUUGUCAGUACCAACUGGGGUACAAAUCAUCUCACUUGACAUCAAACCUGUAACCGUUAGGUGUGAGGUUAAGCUGGCUGAAGAUCAGAUUUGGCUGCUAUGGAUGUUCUAAGUGCAUCUGCAGAGGAAGCUUAAUCUUUCCCAUCCCAGAUGGCUGUCUUGAAAGGGUAUGGAUUGCUAUCCUUAAUCACUCCUUUCUCUUUGCUGCAUAUAUUGGGAAUGUAAAUACUAACUUAAGAUAAUACGUCUAAUUUUUGGAUGGCUGAUUCUAGAGAGCAGAAAUUCUAUUUUAAGGAGGCACACAAAUCCUUCCAUGCAGUACUGUACUUUCUAGGAAGAUAACAAUUUAACUGCUGUGUCCUGUACUCUUGGUGUAUUUGUUUGGUGCUGGGGGUGUACUGGUCCAUUAGGAUCCUGGGAUGAAAGGCACUCAGAGUCUGUAAGGUACCAUUUGACCUGCUGUUUAUUAGAUCAAAUGCUAUAAGGACAGAAUAAUAAAUAACUGAUGUCCCUUUAGAUGCUAAGAACCCCAAGUUAUGCAGCACCGAAGAAGCAUCUGAUCCAUGCUCAACACUAUACAGACCCCUUAUUUGAAGGGGUACUCCCAUUUGGAUAAUUUCCCAACAUGCCAGCUUUUUGCUGUACUUCUAGACAAAGGCAGGAUAACCCAAGUGGCAUAAUCACUGGUACUAAAUGGGAGCUGGAGUUUUUGUGAAGGAAACUUAAAACUUGAUUGCAGUACUGAAUCAACAGGUGAGAGUGAUGCCUAGAGCAGAGAUCCACGGCAGUUCUAGCCGUU